UGGUAAGCUGCUGCUGCCACUACUCCCAGUGCCUCCUACUCCUCCAGGACUACCAACACCGCCAGGUCCACCAGAGCAUGCACCCUCCUCUUUGCUUUUUCCUCAAAAGAUCACACUUUCAAGAAUUAUGAACCACAGGAGAGCUAAAGUGGAAUCCAACAAGCCACACUGUUUGAAGAGCUCCAAAGCAGAAAGGACCUUCUUAGGGUUAUUUGAAGAUUGCUCCUCCUUCCAACAAGCCAUGCCUCCAGGGUUUGGAAAACAUGACAAGCUACACACGCAUGGGUAAAUAAGCAAAUGGUGUCCAGCAUGUACUGCAGCUUCAACAGGCCCCAUAGUUUGCUUAAGACAUGGUGAUCCUGCAAACCAGGUCAAUGGGUUUGUUGUACCAAUCCCUAUCAUUCAGAAUAAAGCAUGCUAUAAGCAGAGACCAGAAAAAGCAAUUGUACCUUAAAUAUACAUUAAAAUAUCACUUCAAAAUGA